rnacentral:rRNA from 1 species
AUGAUCGGUCCGCCUCAGUCUCCCGCUCUUCUCUUUGCUGCUGUUUGCAGACUUUCCUACCAUGUUUGUUCAGUGAGAGGAGACGUUCCCACCAACAAUGAGGCAUCUAUGAUGAUUUUGUCAAUCUCAAGAUGUUGUGUUCGACUCGAUAUCUUGGAGGUGCUCAUAGGGAUAGCCUAUGGUGACUUUGCCAAUUCAAGAUGUUGUGUUUGGCUCGGUAUCUUGGAGGUGCUCGCAGGGGCAGCCUAUGGUGACUUCGUCAAUCUUAAGAUGUUGUGUUCAGCUCGGUAUCUUGGAGGUGCUCGUAGGGGUAGCCUAUGGUGA